CAUAGCCAGUUUGGGUUUGCUCGGUCGAUCCAUAACCGGUCUCCUUACGACCAUAACCGGAUUCGGUUUGCUGAUCAUCAGAUCCGUACUUGUUGGUGCCAUCAUAUCCAGUUUCGGUCUGCUCAGUUGACCCAUAACUGGUUUCUUUGCGGCCGUAACCGGACUCAGUUUGCUGAUCAUCAGAUCCAUACUUGUUGGUGCUACCAUAGCCAGUUUCGGUCUGCUCAGUUGACUCAUAAUCAGUCUCCUUACGGCCGUAACCGGACUCUGUUUUGACAUCAUCAGAUCCGUACUUGUUGGUGGAACCAUACUCGGUUUCGGUCUGG
rnacentral:lncRNA from 1 species